UGGGAUGUUGAGGGAAAAUAAAGGUAACACCUACUCUAACCAUCUCCAUACUGCACAAGCUGAGUGAAGAAAGGACCUCGAGAAACUGAGAGCAAUUCUGUUUUAAGAACAAGUCCAAAGGUCAAUGGCUGCAACUGGCUAUCUGAAAUUCAUCAUUAGACACAGAACUAAGAGGAGUUCAUUUAGGUUAUAAGAUGAACUCUAUUUGAACACUGUGAAACAGCAAAAGUAGGGGAUUCAAAGUCUGGAGAAGACCCUGUAGUUUAACCUAGACAGGAAAACAGUGCUUUUCAACUGGACAUUUGUCACUGUUGGGAGGUGUAAAGACAAGAAAUGCUACCCACUGUUCUACAAUGUACAGGACAACUACAGGAACAAAUAAUUAUCUGCUCCAAAAUAUUUAUAUUCUUAUUGUUGAUAAACACUGACACACAUAAAGCUGUAAAAUUCACUAAUAUGUCAAAAGGCUAUGCACUAUGUGAUGAUUAAUCUUCAUUGUCAACUAGGCUGGAUUUAGAAUCGCCACUGAAAAACAUUCCUGAGAUUGUCUGUAGGGAUAUUUUCAGAAAAGUUUAACUGAUGGAGAAAUGCCCACCUGGAAUGUUAGACAAUACUGUCUUAUAGGCUAAGGUCUUCGACUAAAUAAAAGUGGACAGUGUGUUGACUACCAACAUUCAUCCUUUCUGCUUCCUGAUUGUGCAUGCAAUAUGAUGACUUGUUUGACACUUCUACUGACAUGCUGUCCCUGUCAUGAUGAACUAUAUCUCAAAAUAAACCUUUUCUUCCUUGUUA